GAUGAAGAACGUAGCGAAAUGCGAUAAGUAAUGUGAAUUGCAGAAUUCCGUGAAUCAUCGAAUCUUUGAACGCACAUUGCGCCCCCUGACAUUCCGGGGGGCAUGCCUGUCCGAGCGUCAUUUCUGCCCUCAAGCACGGCUUGUGUGUUGGGUGUGGUCCCCCCGGGGACCUGCCCGAAAGGCAGCGGCGACGUCCGUCUGGUCCUCGAGCGUAUGGGGCUCUGUCACUCGCUCGGGAAGGACCUGCGGGGGUUGGUCACCACUAUAUUUUACCACGGUUGACCUCGGAUCAGGUAGGAGUUACCCGCUGAACUUAAGCAUAUCAAUAAGCGGAGGA
rnacentral:misc_RNA from 1 species